rnacentral:rRNA from 1 species
GACGAACGCUGGCGGCGUGCUUAACACAUGCAAGUCGAACGGUGAAGCUCCAGCUUGCUGGAGUGGAUCAGUGGCGAACGGGUGAGUAACACGUGAGCAACCUGCCCCAGACUCUGGAAUAAGCGCUGGAAACGGCGUCUAAUACUGGAUACGAGAUCAAGCCGCAUGGUUAUGGUCUGGAAAGUUUUUCGGUUUGGGGUGGGCUCGCGGCCUAUCAGCUUGUUGGUGAGGUAAUGGCUCACCAAGGCGACGACGGGUAGCCGGCCUGAGAGGGCGGCCGGCCACACUGGGACUGGGAGAAGGCCCAGACUCAUACGGGAGGCAGCAGUGGGGAAUAGUGCACAAUGGGCGAAAGCCUGAUGCAGCGACGCCGCGUGAGGGAUGACGGCCUUCGGGUUGUAAACCUCUUUCAGCAGGGAAGAAGCGAAAGUGACGGUACCUGCAGAAGAAGCACCGGCUAACUACGUGCCAGCAGCCGCGGUAAAAC